GACGAACGCUGGCGGCGUGCUUAACACAUGCAAGUCGAGCGGUAAGGCCUUUCGGGGUACACGAGCGGCGAACGGGUGAGUAAGACGUGGGUGAUCUGCCCUGCACUUCGGGAUAAGCCUGGGAAACUGGGUCUAAUACUGGAUAUGACCUCCUAUCGCAUGGUGGGUGGUGGAAAGAUUUAUCGGUGCAGGAUGGGCCCGCGGCCUAUCAGCUUGUUGGUGGGGUAAUGGCCUACCAAGGCGACGACGGGUAGCCGACCUGAGAGGGUGACCGGCCACACUGGGACUGGGACACGGCCCAGACUCCUACGGGAGGCAGCAGUGGGGAAUAUUGCACAAUGGGCGAAAGCCUGAUGCAGCGACGCCGCGUGAGGGAUGACGGCCUUCGGGUUGUAAACCUCUUUCAGCAGGGACGAAGCGCAAGUGACGGUACCUGCAGAAGAAGCACCGGCUAACUACGUG
rnacentral:rRNA from 1 species